rnacentral:rRNA from 1 species
AGGACGAACGCUGGCGGCGUGCUUAACACAUGCAAGUCGAGCGGUAAGGCCUUUCGGGGUACACGAGCGGCGAACGAGUGAGUAACACGUGGGUGAUCUGCCCUGCACUCUGGGAUAAGCCUGGGAAACUGGGUCUAAUACCGGAUAUGACCUGCUCUCGCAGUGGGGGUGGGUGGAAAGAUUUAUCGGUGCAGGAUGGGCCCGCGGCCUAUCAGCUUGUUGGUGGGGUAAUGGCCUACCAAGGCGACGACGGGUAGCCGACCUGAGAGGGU